GACAGAGGGGGCAAGCGUUGCUCGGAAUCACUGGGCGUAAAGCGCACGUAGGCGGGUCCUUAAGUCAGGGGUGAAAUCCCGGAGCUCAACUCCGGAACUGCCUUUGAUACUGGGGAUCUUGAGUCCGGAAGAGGUGAGUGGAACUCCGAGUGUAGAGGUGAAAUUCGUAGAUAUUCGGAAGAACACCAGUGGCGAAGGCGGCUCACUGGUCCGGUACUGACGCUGAGGUGCGAAAGCGUGGGGAGCAAACAGG
rnacentral:rRNA from 1 species